rnacentral:rRNA from 1 species
UACGUAGGUGGCAAGCGUUGUCCGGAAUUAUUGGGCGUAAAGCGCGCGCAGGCGGUCCUUUAAGUCUGAUGUGAAAUCCCACGGCUCAACCGUGGAAGGUCAUUGGAAACUGGGGGACUUGAGUACAGAAGAGGAAAGCGGAAUUCCAAGUGUAGCGGUGAAAUGCGUAGAGAUUUGGAGGAACACCAGUGGCGAAGGCGGCUUUCUGGUCUGUAACGUGACGCUGAGGCGCGAAAGCGUGGGGAGCAAACAGG